GACGAACGCUGGCGGCGUGCUUAACACAUGCAAGUCGAACGGAAAGGCCCUGCUUUUGUGGGGUGCUCGAGUGGCGAACGGGUGAGUAACACGUGAGUAACCUGCCCUUGACUUUGGGAUAACUUCAGGAAACUGGGGCUAAUACCUGAUAGGAGCUCCUGCUGCAUGUUGGGGGUUGGAAAUUUUCGGCGGUUGGGGAUGGACUCGCGGCUUAUCAGCUUGUUGGUGGGGUAGUGGCUUACCAAGGCUUUGACGGGUAGCCGGCCUGAGAGGGUGACCGGCGACAUUGGGACUGAGAUACGGCCCAGAAGCCUACGGGAGGCAGCAGUGGGGAAUAUUGCACAAUGGGAGGAAGCCUGAUGCAGCAACGCCGCGUGCGGGAUGACGGCCUUCGGGUUGUAAACCGCUUUCGCCUGUGACGAAGCGUGAGUGACGGUAAUGGGUAAAGAAGCACCGGCUAACUACGUG
rnacentral:rRNA from 1 species